UGGGGUUGUGGCUUAGCGGUAGAUGGCUCGCCUUGCGCGUGCGAGACCUGGGUUCGAUCCUCAGCACCACAA
rnacentral:tRNA from 1 species